UCGAGAAUCAUUCACAAUGGGGGCAACCCUGAUGGUGCAACGCCGCGUGGAGGAUGAAGGACCUAGGUUCGUAAACUCCUGUCAUCAAAGAGUAAUGCAUAUGAGUUAAUACCUUGUAUGCUUGAUAGUAUUUGAAGAGGAAGGGACGGCUAACUUCGUGCCAGCAGCCGCGGUAAUACGAAGGUCCCAAGCGUUGUUCGGAAUCACUGGGCGUAAAGGGAGCGUAGGCUGUCGGGUCAGUCAGAUGUGAAAUCUCGGGGCUCAACCUCGAAACUGCAUUUGAUACUGCCUGACUAGAGUAUUGGAGAGGAGAUUGGAAUUCUCGGUGUAGCAGUGAAAUGCGUAGAGAUCGAGAGGAAGACCAAUGGCGAAGGCAAAUCUCUGGACAAUGACUGACGCUGAGGCUCGAAGGCUAGGGGAGCGAAAGGGAUUAGAUACCCCCGUAGUCC
rnacentral:rRNA from 1 species